rnacentral:rRNA from 1 species
GCAUAUCAAUAAGCGGAGGAAAAGAAACUAACAAGGAUUCCCCUAGUAACUGCGAGUGAAGCGGGAACAGCUCAAGCUUAAAAUCUGCAAGUAUUUUCAUACUUGUCGAGUUGUAGCUUAUGGAUGCAGUCAUCGACUCUGCGACAUAGUAAAAGUUCUUUUGAAUAAGACAUCAGAGAGGGUGAAAAUCCCGUAUUUGACUAUGUUAUUAAGCAGGGGAAUGUGAACUGUUUUCUUUGAGUCGGGUUGUUUGGGAAUGCAGCCCUAAUUAGGAGGUAAAUUUCUUCUAAAGCUAAAUAURAGCAAGAGACCGAUAGCAAACAAGUACCGUGAGGGAAAGAUGAAAAGCACUUUGAAAAGAGAGUGAAAAGUACGUGAAAUUGUUGUAAGGGAACCGGUUAGUAGCCAAGCAUCACUUUUAUGGGAUAGUUUACUAUUCUUGAUUGUGGGGUCAACAUCGGUUGUUUACUGCCUGAAAGRAAAGGUGUAGGUGAGCGGGGGAAAGAUAGGGUAGUUGUUGGCUAGUGGAUUUAUUCAUUAGCAUUUACGGCAAUUGCUUGUUAUAGACCCCCAUAAAUCUGCUUUAAGCCUAGAGGUGGUAACGACCGAGGAACGCAGUGUGGUCAAUUUAUUGGCCUGGUCGGAUUUAGGAGAAUAUUGUUGAUUUAGCUUUGUUAGACAGCUUGCUGACUAGCGAAAUGAGUUGAUAUAUUUAAUCCUAUAUUUGAACUAAGAAGCACUUUGGAUGUUGGCGAAAAGGCACUAAUCGACCCGUCUUGAAACACGGACC